rnacentral:rRNA from 1 species
GACGAACGCUGGCGGCGUGCCUAAUACAUGCAAGUCGAGCGGGCCUCCGGAGGUGCUUGCACCUCCGGACGGCCAGCGGCGGACGGGUGAGUAACACGUGGGCAACCUGCCUUUGAGGCCGGGAUAACACCGGGAAACCGGUGCUAAUACCGGAUACGUCCUCUUUCGCGCCUGCGAGAGGGGAGAAAGACGGUCUUUAAGGCCGUCGCUCAAAGAGGGGCCCGCGGCGCAUUAGCUGGUUGGUGGGGCAAGGGCCUACCAAGGCGACGAUGCGGUGCCGACCUGAGAGGGUGAUGGGCCACACUGGGACUGGGACACGGCUCAGACUCCUGCGGGAGUCAGCAGUAGGGAAUCAUCCGCAAUGGGCGAAAGCCUGACGGUGCAACGCCGCGUGAGUGAGGAAGGUUUUCGGAUCGUAAAGCUCUGUUGUGAGGGAAGAACAGCAUCCGGAGGAAAUGCCGGAGGUUUGCCGGUACCUCACCAGAAAGCCCCGGCUAACUACGUGCCAGCCGCCGCCGUAA